rnacentral:rRNA from 1 species
AAGACUGGGAUAACUCCGGGAAACCGGGGCUAAUACCGGAUGGUUGUUUGAACCGCAGGUUCAGACAUAAAAGGUGGCUUCGGCUACCACUUACAGAUGGACCCGCGGCGCAUAGCUAGUUGGUGAGGUAACGGCUCACCAAGGCGACGAUGCGUAGCCGACCUGAGAGGGUGAUCGGCCACACUGGGACUGAGACACGGCCCAGACUCCUACGGGAGGCAGCAGUAGGGAAUCUUCCGCAAUGGACGAAAGUCUGACGGAGCAACGCCGCGUGAGUGAUGAAGGUUUUCGGAUCGUAAAGCUCUGUUGUUAGGGAAGAACAAGUGCCGUUCAAAUAGGGCGGCACCUUGACGGUACCUAACCAGAAAGCCACGGCUAACUACGUGCCAGCAGCCGCGGUAAUACGUAGGUGGCAAGCGUUGUCCGGAAUUAUUGGGCGUAAAGGGCUCGCAGGCGGUUUCUUAAGUCUGAUGUGAAAGCCCCCGGCUCAACCGGGGAGGGUCAUUGGAAACUGGGGAACUUGAGUGCAGAAGAGGAGAGUGGAAUUCCACGUGUAGCGGUGAAAUGCGUAGAGAUGUGGAGGAACACCAGUGGCGAAGGCGACUCUCUGGUCUGUAACUGACGCUGAGGAGCGAAAGCGUGGGGAGCGAACAGGAUUAGAUACCCUGGUAGUCCACGCCGUAAACGAUGAGUGCUAAGUGUUAGGGGGUUUCCGCCCCUUAGUGCUGCAGCUAACGCAUUAAGCACUCCGCCUGGGGGAGUACGGUCGCAAGACUGAAACUCAAAGGAAUUGACG